UUUCAGGAAAAAAAGAAAAAAGAAAAAGAAAAAGAAAAAGAAAAAGAAAAAGAAAAAGAAAAAGAAAAAGAAAAAGAAAAAGAAAAAGAAAAAGAAAAAGAAAAAGAAAAAGAAAAAGAAUCAGGUUGAUGAGCCAUGCAAAGAAACAUCAGACUUUUUCACAAUGGAGACCUGCCAGCCAACACAAGGGUAUCCAGCUGAUGAGAACAAAACAGAUGGAAUUCUGCAAGUGGAGGCUCAGCCAUGCCUUUGAAGGUGCUACCUUGAAAACAGCAGAACAGGUACAAUUCACAAGUAGCCAGAGAGUCAUGGAGUCCACCAAACACCAGCCAUGGUUCAAUGAGUCAGCAGCAAACACAAUGACGAGCAACUCAAAGUGGUGCUGAGCUCAGUUAGCAAACCUGACCUGCGGUUUCAUACAAACCCUUUUUCCUUCUUUUAGACUACAUGGGUUCAUGCCCCCUGAAUUUCACUCUCAGUUUCAGGUAUGAAUGAAUUCAAAAUCUUUAGGUAAAAUUCAGUGAGAAGAAACUACCUAGUUUUGACUGGUUUCAGUACAAACCCAAGCAAAACCACAGAAUUGCUCAUGGUUUCCAGACCAAGCCAUAUAUUUCACCUAGUUUUUUGGGGGUUUCAUUAUGAAAUUUUCAUGGAGUCAGAAAAAAAAUAAGCAUGCAGCUUAAUGUCCCAAAAGCACUUUGAACUGCUAUCUACACUUCUGUUUUCUGAGAAUAAAAUGAUUGAAAGUGCGUAUUUUUUCUAUCAGCCAACGUCAAGAUAACUGGUUGCAAAGAGAUGGUUCUCUGCACCGUGUGAACCCCCAGUUUGCUUUAAGUGCAAAUGGAUUGGCUUACUGACCCUCCUUAGCUCCUAGGUUUUGGACUUGCGUUUGGUCCUUGUGUUGGGCUUGUUAGUGUAGCUUCAGCCUUGAAUACAUGCCUGGAAGAGAAAAAUAAAGAAUUCUCCCUCUUAUGGUGGGAAAUCUAUGGAUGCUGCAGGCACAGCAUAGGCAAGUCUGCAUCUUUUAUGCUUUCUAGAGUAAAGAAUAUCCCUGGGUUUAAAGAGACUUGGAAAAUACUGAGACUCCAAUGGUGCUCUUUCUUAUUGCUUGACAGUGGUUUCUUCCAGCAGGGAAUAAAGCUUGGAUCAUUUUUAAGUCAGGCCAGGAAAUUCAUCAAGCAUUUGGUAGCUCCAGCUACUCAUACAUGUGUAAGUGUGGUGCAACAGGGGCUGUGCAAAUUAACAUAGUUUUAGUCUCAAACUCAUGAUAGUCAAACAGCAGACAAAAGCAAAUAGCAGUGAGGUGAAGACAUUGAGAGACAUAUAUUUUACUAUAGAAAAUUUGUCACAAGAUAUAAUGCAUUUUCUGUGAUACAUAAGCAAAUGUAUUUUUUUUUCUGGAUACAUUUCUGAAGGCUGUGUCUCACCUACUGAACCAAUUCUGUCAUCUAGAAUACAUCAGAACUAAUUCUCUUGCUGAAUUCCAUAGGAACUAGCUUAUUGAGCACAACUGAACCAGGAAACUCAACUAGACUGGAAGAUUUCAUUUUAAAAGACAUCUAGCUUUCAUUUCAAAGACUUCAAGCCAUGAUGGAGUUGCCAUUUCUUUCAAGGAGUCAUGCCAGUAUUUAAGUAAGCUCAGCCUCAUGGAUUUGUUUCUCUCUCUCCUAUGGGGUUGACAGAAGCAGACAGAUAGGAAGAUAGAAAAAAGGAAAGCCUUGGGGUUUGUUCACCUCAUCCAUCAUUAACCCUCACUUCCAGUGGUCCAAACUUUCCUUUUCCCAGUUAAAUUCACAUGGACCCAGCAUCAAAUUUUCUUCAUUCCUCAGUUUGAUUAAAUAAGUAGACCAAAUUGCUUAAAUUUCUCUAAGUAAAGGCGUCUUCUAGACCUUUGAUCAUAUACUCCCUCAUACCAUUAUAACUAUUUAGCAGGGAAAACUUGUAACAGAGGAUUUUUCUCAGAACAUGCAGGAUGGGAAACUGCAACUUCAAGUAGUGCUUCGAAUGAAAAAAAGAACACACAGCAAACAAUUGAAAGUUAGAGACACCCACUCAGAUGCAAAAAUAUCCCGUACCUCUGUGGCAAAUGUAAAUGUAAUUAGGCAGUUUCAGGAUGUGUCUUGACAAGCUGGUUUGUUUUGUUUUGUUUUGUUUUAGCUAUUUUCUGGAGGAGUUUGGCCUGUUGGUAAAACUCAUGCUGAAAGGAAAUCUGGUUUCACAUCCGGGCUGUGCCACAGCCUCGCUGUGUGACCAGUGCCAUGUCACUCCCUGUGUCCCCUUCCCCGGCGGCACAGGGAGGGAAGCAGCACACUUCCCCCAGGCCGACAUACGGCUUCACUGUCUGGUAACAUCCCUUGAAAGAGCAGAAUUGUUUUAGGUGAGAUGGUGGUGACUUUGCCUUAGUUUCAUAGGCCAAAAGCAGAAGGGAAGAAGGGUGGGAGGUGAGGGAAUGAACGCUCUGCAAGGAAAGGCAGCCGUGCACUCUCUGAACUUGUCUGCUUGUUCUGCAAGGAGACAGGUUUGAACCCAGCAGUGAGCAGGACGUGCUAAUGCCUUCGGGUCUAUAGCAGCGUGCCUGUCUCCGGCAUUUUCCACCCCAGAGCUCUUAUCUUUUUACAAGAAAGAUCUACAUAAUUUCUGCUGCUUUACAGACAGAAAAACUGAGGCAGCAGCUGGAGAAGUGACUAAUGCAUCAGGGACAUCACAUGUCUUUGUGAAGCCUUUGCCAGAUGCUUUUUGAAAACGAGAUCCUUGGGGCUUCUACUGCGAACUCAGCCAGCCUGCAGAAAUGGCACUGGGGCCAAGGCUCCACGUGCCCACGGGCAGUCUCUGCCGGCUGGGCAAGCCAAGGAAUGAGGAAAGGAGUCUGGUGAAGAUAAUGAGAAAGAGGAGGAGGUGGUGUAGGUUGUGAGAGAAGAUGAAACAGCUUUGACACAAGCAAAGGAAACUUCAAGUUUGGAAUUUCAAAAAAUCGACUCAACAUUUCUGUCGUAGCAGAUAAACAUCUAUCUGCUUUAUUACUGGGAAUCAUCUUUUUUUUUUUCUGAUUAUAAAUAGAAACAGAAUGCUACUUCGUUAUUUCCUCUGGGUUUUUUGGGGGUAGGUGCAUGUGGGUGGUAAACAGCUUGCAAAGAAGUUGUUGUUAUUAUUAUUAGUCAAUAUGAAGAACCAGAGGGUAGCGCCUGAGUCUGCGAUGCACCGGGUAUGGGAUAGCCACAAACCAAAUAUAGGUCAUUCACUCAAGCACAUCUAUGACGAAGGGGACAGAGCACAGGCGAACCACUAAUCUGUAGCUGUGAUUAUUCUUGCUUUGCGAUACUAUCUGUAUCGCUAUACACAUUUUUUUUGUGUGCCAAAAGGCAAGCAGAGACACAAAAGACCUCAAGGGCUUAAACUAACAAUGAGACAUAAAACCAUCAAUAAGCAGCUGAACAGAGCUAUCAGUGCACUUGUUUAAGAAAGCUUUUUAGCCUCAACAAAGCCCUGCUUGUGUCAUGGUAACAGCUAGCAGUGGAAACGUGCGGUAUUGGUUGCUGUACAAGCACAUUACAAGACACUUUUGUGAAUCUGCAGUCUAAACAGGCGAUACAAGGUCUGAUAGGAAGCACAAGCACUGAGCUCGGGUUAUCGUGUUAUAUCAGGCUGUUCGUCUUCCAGCCUGAAGUGCAUGAACUGCCCUUGCUUGCUUGGAGCAUCCCUGGUGACGGGCAGCAAAACCCAUCAGGGCUGGGGAUGAAGGACUGUCCCGUGACGCACCGGUCUGGCCUCGGGGAGAGGGAAAGGGCUUGCUUUCCUGGAGUACUCCUUUGACAUGACUGCAGGGGGUUCAAAGGAGGGCCAUGAAGAUGAUGAAAGGGCUGUAGUACCUGGCCUGUGAGAAAAAGACUGAAGGAGUUGGGUCUUUCCACUCCAGAGAAAAGAAGGCUCAGGGUGGGGACCUCACCACAAUAUUCCAGUACUUAAAGGGUGGCUAGAAAGAGGUCGGAAGCUCUCCCUUCACAAGGCCCCACAUGGAGAAGACAAGGGGCAACGAAUACAAGUUGCACUGGAACAGAUCUUGUCUUGAUAUAAGAAAUUUUCUAUAGUGAGACCAACAGGAAAAACCUCCACAGGGAUGUGGCAGAAUCCCAGUCACUGGAGGUUUUCAAGAUGUGGUUGGGCAGGGUGCUAGAUAAGCUCACCUCCUCUCCCUUUCCCACAAAGGGCAGGACCUGAUGAUCUUUCAAGGGCCCUUCCAAACUGGGCUCUUCAAUGAUUCUGUGACAAUGGGGGAUUCACCACUGGCUCACUGCAUCCAUGACGUUUAAUAUUUUCCAGUGCUCCUUUAUACUUCCCCUCUUAGGGAUGAUGGCAAAGCCCAGAAUCUGUUGCAUCCUCUAAAGCUCUGUGCUGUCCCCUCUGCCCAGUCCCCUUCUACCCAUCCCACUCCACCAGGGCUGAGACAGCAGCGACAGCAUCAGCAGACAUCUGCAGUGGGACUUAUCUGCAUAUUGCACUCAACUUUGUAAUUAAUAGAGAGAAAUAGGCACUUUUCAGAAACUUUUGCCUACCUCAUGCUAUGUACCUGGUUGGGUGCUUCGUACAGAAGCUGCUGGCUUUCUCCCGGGACUCAGCUGCUGUCGUUUUUGCUAGGGGCGCUCCAUCCCUGACACACUGGUAUGUCUGGACAGAGAGCCCAGCUGUGUGGAGGAGCACCCACCUGAAGUCCCAGCCCAUGGGAAAGAAUAAGGACUGCCUAAAAGCAAGGUGUGCUCCCCAGCAUGAAUCCUGCAGGGCAGCGAGACCAGAAGGAGAGCAUCCCCCAGCAGUGGCUGCUGGUGACACCCAGGGGACAACGAGUCUGUGCCUGUGUCUGCACUUGGAGGAGGAGGUGCAAAAGGGGACAUUCAGUGGAAACUAUUACAAUGGCAUUGUAGGAAAGAGCCUUGCACCCUCUGUCUGCGUGCUGAGCUCAUCCUGAUCCCUGUGCCUGCAGGAGGAGAGCACCAAGGAGGAGAGGAGAUGCUUGCAUGGUUAAAGCAAGGGGAUGGCAGUCGAGGAAGGAGGGUGAUGCUUCUGGCUCUGGCAUUUGUAUGCAUCGAACCCAGCAUUUACUGCCUCGCUGCUUGGGUUUUGACACAGAUAAAAUGGAAAUCCCUGUUUGGAGCUGUGGGGCUACUAUCCCUUAGCACAUCUGAGGGGUUCCAGUAGGAAGUGCUUUCCAUCAGGUUUCUCUUUGAGAAGAAAAAAUUAACUUAAGA